rnacentral:rRNA from 1 species
CCUACGGGGGGCAGCAGUAGGGAAUAUUGCACAAUGGAGGAAACUCUGAUGCAGCGACGCCGCGUGAGUGAUGAAGGCCUUCGGGUCGUAAAGCUCUGUCGCAGGGGAAUAACACAAUGAAUGUACCCUGUAAGAAAGGAUCGGCUAACUUCGUGCCAGCAGCCGCGGUAAGACGAGGGAUCCUAGCGUUGUUCGGAAUCAUUGGGCGUAAAGCGGGUGUAGGUGGCUUUGUAAGUCAGGUGUGAAAGCCUAGGGCUCAACCCUAGAAGUGCAUUUGAUACUGCGAAGCUUGAGUGUGGGAGAGGAUAGUAGAAUUGUUGGUGUAGUGGUGAAAUACGUAGAUAUCAACAGGAAUACCGGAGGCGAAGGCGGCUAUCUGGCCCAACACUGACACUGAGAUCCGAAAGCGUGGGGAUCAAACAGGAUUAGAUACCCGGGUAGUC